UACCUGCGCCCCAAGUGGUAUCCACUUUUAUUGGGCCUAAAGCGUCCGUAGCCGGUUUGGCAAGUCUUCGGUGAAAUUCACUAGUAAACUAGUGAGCUUGUCGGAGAUACUGCCAGACUUGGGACCGGGAGAGGGUAGGGGUACUCCUAGGGGAGGGGUAAAAUCCUAUAAUCCUAGGGGGACCACCGGUGGCGAAGGCGCCUACCUAGAACGGUUCCGACGGUGAGGAAAGAAAGCUAGGGGAGCGAUCGGG
rnacentral:rRNA from 1 species